UAAACGCACUGACGUUUCGGCAUCAAUUGAUUUCUCUUCAAAUUUAUUCUCUUUUAUAUAUAAGAAUUAUAUUUAUUGGAUUCAGACAGUUUUCGUGCUUUAUUAUGGGUAGAAAACAUACUAAUAAAGCACACAAACAUUUCACAUAUAACGAUGUAGAAGAUAGUUCACAGUGUGUCAUCUGUAAAUCUUCAUUGAAGGGUAAUUAUGGGACAAACUUAAAAAAACAUUUAAUUCGUUACCAUGAUUUUAAAGAAGAAUAUUUCACUGAUAUUUCUUUGAAUAAAAAAGAAACGGGAAAGCAUCGAAAAGAAAUACAGCCACAAAUAGAUGAAGUAAAUUCUAUAAAAGUAAAAAUGACAAAAAAAGAUCUCGAAAACAAUUGCAUUGAAUUAGUAACAGUUAAUGGAAGACCAUUUAGUAUUUUAAAUGACUCUGGUUUUCAAAAUAUUAUAAAUCCAAUCAAAUCGGCAAUAGAAGAUAAAUAUAAACAGAAAAUUUCUAUUUCGUCAGAAUCAAUACAAAGAAAAGUUAAUGAAGAAGCUGAUAAAAUAAAAAAGGAAAUAUCUGAGGAUAUAAAAAACAUUCUGAUUUCAAUAAAAGUGGACGCUGUCACUCGAUUAGACAGAUCCUUUUUAGGUAUCAAUAUACAAUAUAUUAAAGAUACAAAAAUUGUA